rnacentral:rRNA from 1 species
GUGGGGAAUCUUGCGCAAUGGGCGAAAGCCUGACGCAGCCAUGCCGCGUGAAUGAUGAAGGUCUUAGGAUUGUAAAAUUCUUUCACCGGGGACGAUAAUGACGGUACCCGGAGAAGAAGCUCCGGCUAACUUCGUGCCAGCAGCCGCGGUAAUACGAAGGGGGCUAGCGUUGCUCGGAAUUACUGGGCGUAAAGGGCGCGUAGGCGGACAGCUUAGUCAGAGGUGAAAGCCCAGGGCUCAACCUUGGAAUUGCCUUUGAUACUGGCUGUCUUGAGUUUGGGAGAGGUGAGUGGAACUCCGAGUGUAGAGGUGAAAUUCGUGGAUAUUCGGAAGAACACCAGUGGCGAAGGCGACUCACUGGCCCAAUACUGACGCUGAGGCGCGAAAGCGUGGGGAGCAAACAGGAUUAGAAACCCCGGUAGUCC